GCCGUCAUACGGAAAAAGAACGCAUCUGACGUUUUUAUCGAAAAUGAGUUUCAUACUGAUUCGGAAUCAGGAGAAUAAGACGCAUCUGCUAGUAUUUUUAAAGUUUGCUAAAACAAACGCAACCUAUAAAAUCUGACUGCAAAAUAGGACGUAUCUGCAAUAUUUCACUAAUGAUACUAAUUUGGAUGGACCUUUCUGUUCUAUAAUAAAUUGAAAAGACAUAUUUAAAUAGAAAUGUCUUUUUUUAACACAGUUUUUGUAAUGUGUCAUAUAAUGAAAAGGCAUUUCUAUAUUGUAAUAAAAAGAAAAGUCGGAUUGGCGAAGAUGUGCCUCUUUAUGUUAGCAUUGUUCACUUAUGUAUACCAGGCGUAAAACUACCUAGACGCAAGUGGCACUAGCGUCCUUUUUUCGUAGUAUCCUUUGAUGUGCGGGGACUGCGGGGUAAAGAGGAGUUCGUGGCACGUUGUCCGCACAAUCAGUUGCGCCUAGGCAGCCGAGGCAAAAGACGACGUCUAUGCGACGCUCGUCUCCGUGUUUUUUACGGAAAUAUGUCUAAUCAAGCGAGAUCUUCGAGGUGCUCAAAAAUAAUUUCGUUAGUACAACCAACUAGUUCCAGUGAAACUAAUUACUUGAAUAACGAAAUUUUGAAUAACGAUGCUAUGGAUAACCAAAUGUUGAAUAAUGAUACUUUUGAGAUUUUGAAUAGCCUGAUUUUGAAUAACGAGAUUUUGAA